rnacentral:rRNA from 1 species
GUAACGCGUGAGUAACCUGCCUUUCUAGAGGGGGAGUAACGUUCUGAAAAGAACGCUAAUACCGCAUAACAUCAAUUUAUCGCAUGAUAGGUUGAUCAAAGGAGCAAUCCGCUGGAAGAUGGACUCGCGUCCGAUUAGCCAGUUGGCGGGGUAACGGCCCACCAAAGCGACGAUCGGUAGCCGGACUGAGAGGUUGAACGGCCACAUUGGGACUGAGACACGGCCCAGACUCCUACGGGAGGCAGCAUG